CCUACGGGUGGCUGCAGUAGGGAAUUUUCGUCAAUGGGCGCAAGCCUGAACGAGCGAUGCCGCGUGAGUGAAGAAGGCUUUCGGGUCGUAAAGCUCUGUUGCGGGGGAAAAAAGGCAGCAUCAGGAAAUGGGUGCUGACUGAUGGUGCCCCGCUAGAAAGUCACGGCUAACUACGUGCCAGCAGCCGCGGUAAUACGUAGGUGGCGAGCGUUAUCCGGAUUGAUUGGGCGUAAAGGGUGCGCAGGCGGUCCUGCAAGUCUGGAGUGAAACGCAUGGGCUCAACCCGAGAAUGGCAUUGGAAACUGGAGAACUGGAGAGCAGGAGAGGGGGGUGGAACUCCAUGUGUAGCGGUAAAAUGCGUAGAUAUAUGGAAGAACACCAGUGGCGAAGGCGGCCGCCUGGCCUGUUGCUGACGCUGAGGCACGAAAGCGUGGGGAGCAAAUAGGAUUAGAUACCCCUGUAGUC
rnacentral:rRNA from 1 species